GCCGGAGUGGCGGAAUUGGCAGACGCAAGAGACUUAAAAUCUCUCGUCGGCAACGGCGUACCGGUUCGAGUCCGGUCUCCGGCACCA
rnacentral:tRNA from 1 species